rnacentral:rRNA from 1 species
GACGUAGGGGGCCAGCGUUGCUCGGAAUUACUGGGCGUAAAGGGUUCGUAGGCGGUGUGGCAAGUCGGGCGUGAAAUCUCUGGGCUUAACUCAGAGGCUGCUUCCGAAACUGCCGUGCUAGAGUGCGGGAGAGGCGAGUGGAAUUGCAGGUGUAGCGGUGAAAUGCGUAGAUAUCUGCAGGAACACCCGUGGCGAAGGCGGCUCGCUGGACCGCAACUGACGCUGAGGAACGAAAGCUAGGGGAGCAAACAGG